rnacentral:misc_RNA from 1 species
AUCGCUGUAUUAUCAAAGGAACUCGCAAAUUUAUUUUUUUUACACACCCACAUGGCCACACCACAUACAGAGUUGAUAAUAUUUAUUUGGAUGGUGAAGUGAUUCACCUUAUAUGUGGUUGUUUAUGGAACUGGUACUCCUUAGCUUAUUUGGUGCUAGUAUGUGUAUGUUUUUACUGUUACUGGUACCGUGUAUUAGGCGUGUUCGUGGUUUGUGUAACCAAAUUAUGGCAGUUUCUUUGAAACCAUUUCAAAAUGACUGGUUCAUAAAUUAGACAAACUGAAAUUGAAUUUGCAGAAUUGGUAAACCAGUUCUCCCAGCCUGGCUAGUUUUUGAGUUUUUUAUGUGCCUGUGUGUGUAUACAUACACGUAGUUCUAUUCAUGUACAUGUACUAUUUUCAAUUUUGUCCAAACGUAACAGAUUGCAGACAAACAUAUCAGUUGUGUACAACUGUGUCAUUUGAAUGAUAGUCAAUUCCAUGAACGCCCAUUUUCAGUUUUUGUGUCUUACACAAUUAUUAUAGGUUUGGGGUUGUCUGAGAGGUGGAAGCCACAUAUGAUGUAUCUGAAGAUACAUUACACGUAUAUUGGCAAGAAUGCUGCCAUAAAUUGACUUCGAGUUGGUUUUUGUUGUACUGGCAAGAAGGAGGCCAGUGGGCCCAUUUUGUGGAGUUUCUGAAUGGAUAAUUUUGUGGAAUUUUUUUGCCACUUUGGUGCUGUUUCCUUGAGUGUAUGCAGAUAUAAAUAGAAAUAUUCUGGCCUCUGUUUUUUGGAAUGAAAGAUAAAUGUGUGUUUGAUUUUGUCUUCCUUUGUUUUCUUCCUGCUACGUCUACAGCAGCAAUGAGAGAAUUCCAGAGGCACAAGGUAGAUAGAAACACCAAAUGAAGCAAAAAUAUAGAAUUAUAAGCAAUAAUAAAUCUUUGGAUUAGAGGGUGGAUUUGGUGUAACGGGAAAGUUACUCCAUUUGUAACUUGGAGGUCAUGGGUUUGAGCUGUGAAAACAGCCUCUCUACAAAGUAAGGGUAAGGCUGCAUGCAUCAUCCCUCCAUAGAGUUCAUAAGUGUGGGAUUUUUUGUGCACUAGGUCACCUUUUUUAAUAAAUCUUUAGAUUGAGUGUACUUUGGAAGCCUUUGUAUUUCAGCCAUCUAAAAUUUUCUUUGUUGUCUGAAUUAGAGCCCUCCUGAAGUUCAUGCGAAU